GCUGCGAUGGCCGAGCGGUUAAGGCGAUGGACUAGAAAUCCAUUGGGAUUCUUCCCGCACAGGUUCAAAUCCUGUUCGCAGCG